rnacentral:rRNA from 1 species
AUGUUUUUCCAGCGCAAGAAUUCCAAGAAAGUGAAAAACACCGAUGCAUCAUCGCCCAAGAAGGACAAAGAUAGCCGUGGGAAGAACGACUUCUUCGAUGGCGCCAAGGGUGGGUUUGGUGCCCUUGCAGGAAGCAUCAAAUCAGCCAAGAAUGACGCUGAAGAGAGGGCAGCAAAGGUUCAAGAGGAUGUGAACGCCGGCAUUGAAGCAAUCCUGGAGACGGGCUCAGGCAUUCUUGAGAAAGCCAAGGAGGAUGUUGGAGGCCAUUCAGAAACAAGCCGCUCGAAGGAACUAGGUCAAGGAAGUGAAGAAGAAGAAGAAGAAGAAGAAGAAGAACAAGGAGAGAAGGACAUGGAUGCCUUAAGUUCGAUGCUCGACAAGGCGAAAGACAAGGUGAAAAGCAACCCUGAUGUGAUGGAGAAAGUCAAUUCGGUCCUCGACAAGGUGAAGAACCACCCAGAAGUCAUGGAGAAAGUUGCUGAGGUUUUACAUCUGGGAAAACGUGAAUCCAAAGAGAAAGAGCCCGAGGCCGAGGACAAGGCAAAAGAAGGCGAGACCUCUGCCGACAAGACCCAAGACUCAAACAUCCUAGACCAGGCCGUGGAAGAAAUUCAGGCUGUUGUAGCAGCUGUGCAGCAGCAGGAAACAACCGGGGAUGAAACUCAAGUUCCAGUCGAGGCUGCUGCCGAAACUGACGCUCCAGCUCAAGAAGAAAAACGGGAGGUGGAGAAAGACAACCCCAAGAACCGAAUCGACUUCCUUGGAUUCUUCGCCAUGAUCUUUGAGAGGUUCUGCUCCCCAGCUGACAAGAAGAAAGACUAG